rnacentral:rRNA from 1 species
GACGAACGCUGGCGGCGUGCUUAACACAUGCAAGUCGAACGAUUGGCGAACGGGUGAGUAACCGGUGGGUGACCUGCCCUGCAAUUCGGGCUAAGCCUGGGAAACUGGGUCUAAUACCGGAUAGUGUGGGAUGGGACCGCGGCCGAUUAGCUUGUUGGUGGGGUAAUGGACUACCAAGGCUACGAUCCGUAGCUGGUUUGAGAGGACGACCAGCCACACGGGGACUGAGACACGGCCCAGACUCCUACGGGAGGCAGCAGUGGGGAAUUUUGGGCCAUGGGCGAAACCCUGAUCCAGCCAUCCCGCGUGGGCGAGGAAGGUUUCGGGUUGUAAAGCUCUUUUGUCAGGAAAGCGGUACCUGCAGAAUAAGCACCGGCUAACUACGUGCCAGCAGCCGCGGUAAUAC